GUGGGGAAUAUUGGACAAUGGGCGAAAGCCUGAUCCAGCCAUGCCGCGUGUGUGAAGAAGGUCUUCGGAUUGUAAAGCACUUUAAGUUGGGAGGAAGGGCAGUAAGUUAAUACCUUGCUGUUUUAACGUUACCGACAGAAUAAGCACCGGCUAACUUCGUGCCAGCAGCCGCGGUAAUACGAAGGGUGCAAGCGUUAAUCGGAAUUACUGGGCGUAAAGCGCGCGUAGGUGGUUUUGUAAGUUGGAGGUGAAAUCCCCGGGCUCAACCUGGGAACUGCCUCCAAAACUGCAUGACUAGAGUACGGUAGAGGGUAGUGGAAUUUCCUGUGUAGCGGUGAAAUGCGUAGAUAUAGGAAGGAACACCAGUGGCGAAGGCGACUACCUGGACUGAUACUGACACUGAGGUGCGAAAGCGUGGGGAGCAAACAGGAUUAGAUACCCGAGUAGUCC
rnacentral:rRNA from 1 species